rnacentral:rRNA from 1 species
UACGGAGGGUGCAAGCGUUAUCCGGAUGCACUGGGUUUAAAGGGUGCGUAGGUGGGCAAGUAAGUCAGUGGUGAAAUCUCCGGGCUUAACCCGGAAACUGCCAUUAAUACUAUUUGUCUUGAAUACUGUGGAGGUCAGCGGAAUAUGUCAUGUAGCGGUGAAAUGCUUAGAUAUGACAUAGAACACCAAUUGCGAAGGCAGCUGGCUACACAAAUAUUGACACUGAGGCACGAAAGCGUGGGGAUCAAACAGG